GUCGCUUCUCUGCCUUUUGGCUAAGAUCAAGUGUAGUAUCUGUUCUCAUCAGAUUAAUAUCUGAUAUGAGGACUACAUAUUAAAUAGAUUUCUAGAACAGGGAGACGGAAGAACUUGCUCCAUCCGCUCCACUCAUCGACCAGGUAUUGCAGUACCUCCAGGAACGGUGCACCUCCU
ensembl:snRNA U2 U2 spliceosomal RNA